UGUAAGUUGACAUAGUCCCAGGAUACGGGAAUGAAACCCGGGACUUUAGCAACUUCCAGC
rnacentral:pre_miRNA from 1 species